rnacentral:rRNA from 1 species
AACGAACGCUGGCGGCGUGCUUAACACAUGCAAGUCGAACGGUAAGGCCCUUCGGGGUACACGAGUGGCGAACGGGUGAGUAACACGUGGGUGAUCUGCCCUGCACUUCGGGAUAAGCCUGGGAAACUGGGUCUAAUACCGGAUAGGACCACUGCCUGCAUGGGUGGUGGCGGAAAGCUUUUGCGGUGUGGGAUGGGCCCGCGGCCUAUCAGCUUGUGGGUGGGGUGAUGGCCUACCACGGCGACGACGGGUAGCCGGCCUGAGAGGGUGACCGGCCACACUGGGACUGAGAUACGGCCCAGACUCCUACGGGAGGCAGCAGUGGGGAAUAUUGCACAAUGGGCGCAAGCCUGAUGCAGCGACGCCGCGUGAGGGAUGACGGCCUUCGGGUUGUAAACCUCUUUCAGCACCGACGAAGCGCAAGUGACGGUAGGUGCAGAAGAAGGACCGGCCAACCACGUGCCAGCCGCCGCCGUAA